rnacentral:rRNA from 1 species
UACGUAGGGUGCGAGCGUUUGUCCGGAAUUAUUGGGGCGUAAAGGGCUCGUAGGCGGUUUGUCGCGUUCGGGAGUGAAAACUCAGGGCUUAACCCUGAGCCUGCUUCCGAUACGGGCAGACUAGAGGUAUGCAGGGGAGAACGGAAUUCCUGGUGUAGCGGUGAAAUGCGCAGAUAUCAGGAGGAACACCGGUGGCGAAGGCGGUUCUCUGGGCAUUACCUGACGCUGAGGAGCGAAAGUGUGGGGAGCGAACAGG